UGGGGGAAUAUUGCACAAUGGGGGAAACCCUGAUGCAGCGACGCCGCGUGAGCGAAGAAGUAUUUCGGUAUGUAAAGCUCUAUCAGCAGGGAAGAUAAUGACGGUACCUGACUAAGAAGCCCCGGCUAACUACGUGCC
rnacentral:rRNA from 1 species